rnacentral:miRNA from 1 species
GAACUCAGUAUAUAGACCAGGCUGGCCUCAAACUCACAGAGAACUGCCUGCCUCUGCCUCCUGAGUGCUAGGAU